UGCUAGUUUUGUUAGCUUGACUUCGCCCUCUGUAAAGGUAGCACUAACGUUAUAUCCAGGCGUAAAUUGAUUAAAUAGCUACCUCUUUUGAAUUGUCAACUCUGUAUAUUAUAUAAAUAGGCCCUUUAUGGUGCAUAUGUUUAUAUUUAUUUGUAUGUGCACAGUGCAAUUUAUAAAUAUAUUCUUAACUUGGUAGACAACCGAUUUUCAGUCAUUGCCUGCUACUUUUAUCUCGAUUUUGCCAGCUGUGAAGAAGGUAUCGCUACACCAGAAAUUACGAAGUUCAUUAGUGAAUCUCUAACAUCUUUUAUUAAGUAAGUUAUUGAUGUUAGAUUACUAGGAUCAUCAAGGUUGACUAGGACGUUUUUUUUAGGUUGUAUCUGCUGAACCUGGCGGUGUUAGCCAUUAAGCUGAGUACUGUGUAUCUGAUGCUAGUAGAAAUAAGGUUUGUUUAAUUGCACCCUUGAAAGGGCUGUUUAGUUGGAUUGCAUGUAGGAAUACAAAUUAUUCCACACAAAAAAUUAUCAUAAGCCAUAAUGAGGUUUAAAAUGUUUAUUACUCAGACAGUAGUGUGACUAAUUUGUUCCCCAAACACUGCUGCUGCAGGCGGCUGCUGCUGGAGGCGAUGACUGCUUGAGCUGGCUGAUGUUGGCGAAGGAUGGUGAUGGCGGCUGCUGCUUGUGACGGCUGCUGAUAAUGUUGGCCACUGCUGGCGCUGGCAGCUGGUGGCGGCUGGUGCUGGCCAUGGCUGCUGGUGGCGACUGCUGACUGCUGGAAUAAGAGGAGACUGGAGGCUGUGGAAACUGCGGACGGUGUGCCGGGAAUGGAGUGGCCGAGUACAUCCAUGGCAACCAGUAAGGUGUUCGUUAGUGGCCUAGAUGGUAUGACCUUAGGUGAGGAGGUCUGCUGUGUGGAAAUCGCCUUCUUGGUCUGACUCUUGCUGCCAAGGUACCCCUUAUUACGGCUGUUUGCCUUUCUCUCAUCUCCGAUGCACUUUGAGUGAAUCCUUAACCUCAGCCUGAUAUAUGUUGAAAGGUUUUUUUUUUCAGCUCAUGGCAUGAGGGAAGGUUGCUGUCCAGACUCAUGGCCUCUCUUUCCAGCUGUUCCACUACGUUGGAGGAUUCCAUAAGGGAAUCACUCGUCUGGGAACGGAAGAGGUGCUCCACGUGCUGCAGGAGAGUGAACAGCUCAUCGCAUGGCCGUGCACAUUGGCAUUCCUCACAGAGCGAGAAGCUGAUGACCCUCUUCGCUAUGUAUCCUGCCAGGUGGUAGAGGACACAAGACUCGGUCUUUGUGAGGUCAGGUGGGUCUACCAGCUGCUCCACUCUCACAACCUCAGAAGCACUGCAGUUGCUGUUCUUGUUGUCCAAGAAGUCCGCCAAGUGGUCUGAUGCAUCAUCCAGAUCUUGCUGGACCAGCAGUAUCGUUGUUGUGGCCAUCACAGGUUUCAGUGGAGCGCCCCCCCCCCCCAAAUAAAAUGGUUACGAUACCUGUU